GUGAUGAAGCUAUAAUCACUAAGGGGUCUAGGUGAUGAAGCUAUAAUCACUAAGGAGUCUAGGUGAUGAAGCUAUAAUCACUAAGGGGUCUAGGUGAUGAAGCUAUAAUCACUAAGGAGUCUAGGUGAUGAAGCUAUAAUCACUAAGGGGUCUAGGUGAUGAUAGAGGUCUAGGUGAUGAAGCUAUAAUCACUAAGGGGUCUAGGUGAUGAAGCUAUAAUCACUAAGGGGUCUAGACAUUUAUCACAGUACUCCAGAUUAUAACCUGCAUUACGUUAUA